CGCUCUUUGAAUUGGAGGCAGAAAAACAUAUCUAUUGCUGCCACCGUUUGCCGAUUCCCGUGUGGUCCGCUCACCAUGCAGUCUUGCUUGAGGAGCGACCAGGUGAUGAACUCCAGCAGGGGCAGCAGGCUGACCAGACGCUUCUUCUUGAGGCCCAGAAGACGCAGCACUUUGCCCAUCUCGUCGCUCUGCACCCCGCAGCUCUGAAGAGACCAGUCGAGCAUAUUUCAAUCAUGCUAACAUACAAUGUCAAACCCCAUAGACUAGCUAAGUGAAGUUAGCAUAGAUGUUGCAAAAUUCAAAACUACGCUCGUCCGCAACUCUCCAUGAAGCUGACUUGAAUGUGUUUUGCUUGGGGAAGCGGUUUCUCACCUCAGAGACCGUUUGGACCUCCCGAGCCCACUCCAUGACCCUCACUUGUACAUCCACAUUGGCAUCAAAGUUCUUCUUGGGUUCUUGAGUCUCAGGUGCCCAGGGGUUGGCCUCCAGAAGCUGAAGACGUACAAGUCGGCACGUGAGAUUUGUUUUGCGGGCCUUUGCCUGUCACGCCGACCAACCUUGUCCACAUGGCGUAGUUCGUCGGCCCACUCCAGGAUGAGUUUAUGGCUUUCCUCCAAACUACGCUCGGUGCGCGAGUGGAUCUUCUCGGCCUUGCUUGACGUUCCCUCUGAUUUGGAUCCGUCGCUCUGGAGAAGUCAAGUGAAGUUUAUUUAUAUAGCCCUAAAUCGCAAGCAGUCUCAAAUGGCUUCACAUAUACAAAACAAACAGAGAAGAGCAAAUUAUUUUUUGGUUUGUUUUCUGUCGAACUGUUGCCAUUUCUUCUAUUUUAAUUAGUUGUCCAGUAUUUCAGACGGGCAAUUUCCAUAUAUACCUUGCAAACCUGGUCCACUUGCUCCUUCCAGUGUUGGAUGAAUUGCACGCACUCCUGCAGGCUGCGCAGGUCUUUCAGGCCGUUCUGGCGAGGCUGCUGCUGGUGCUGAAAACAUACCCAGUCAACUUUGACCCUCCACAAAAUUUUUAAAAAAAAA